UACGUAGGUGACAAGCGUUGUCCGGAUUUACUGGGCGUAAAGAGCGCGCAGGCGGUCGUUCAAGUCGAGUGUGAAAGCCCCCGGCUCAACUGGGGAGGGUCAUUCGAUACUGAUCGACUCGAAGGCAGGAGAGGGAAGUGGAAUUCCCGGUGUAGUGGUGAAAUGCGAUAGAUAUCGGGAGGAACACCAGUGGCGAAGGCGACUUCCUGGCCUGUUCUUGACGCUGAGGCGCGAAAGCUAGGGGAGCAAACAGG
rnacentral:rRNA from 1 species